CUGUGGUCACGCUUAAGAUAAGGUGUGGGACUUUCUGAUGUGUGGAUGUGAUAACACUGUAAACGUGCUCUUAAACCGACGGGACCUCAGCCAGCUGAGCAUCCAACAUUCCAACUCACACUUCUUGGAAGAAAGGCUGCUGUGAUGUUUCGGGCGAUCUGGCUGAGAAGAGGUGUCCUACUAUGUCCUCCUGAUCGGUAACGAGGGCCACCUUAUGUCUGCCGAUCAAACGGUGAAAAUGUCCAUGCUUCUACUAUUGUCCUUGCUGCUCAUUUCUUAUGGAAUUGGCAACACCCGAUGCUCGACAGUCCCUGGUAACAGUGAGGACAUGCUCUCGUUGCUAGAUUUCAAGCGAGCCAUCACCAGUGAUCCAAGGCAAGCCUUGAGCUCAUGGAACACUAGCAUCCACCAUUGCCAGUGGGAGGGUGUCAACUGCAGCUUGAAGCACGCAGGCGUGUCACCGCGCUCAACCUCACAGACCAAAGUUUGCAAGGUCAAAUUGCUCCCUCUCUUGGAAAUCUAACCUUCCUUAGGAAACUCGUCCUCUCCUCAAACGGCUUCUCUGGCCAGUUGCCCAUUCUUAACCGCCUCCGUAAGCUCCAGUCCCUUGAUCUGGGCGAUAACAGGUUGCAGGGGUUCAAUCCUGAUGCACUUACAAAUUGCUCUAACUUAGAGUACCUAGACCUUUCUUUCAACUCGAUCACGGGUUCACUUCCCCCAAAUAUUGGUUCCCUGAAUAGCCUUGUGUCUUUGAUCCUUCACAGUAAUAAUUACACCGGCACCAUCCCAUCAAAUAUUAAGAACAACACCCAGCUACAGUUAAUCUCUCUAUCAGAAAAUCAGAUCCAAGGGAACAUUCCCGUUGAGCUUGGGCAGUUGCCAAAUAUGAUCUCGUUGUUUCUAAGGGGGAAUAGGUUAUCAGGUAGAAUCCCAACGACACUUAUAAACAAUUCUGCCCUUGCAAUUAUGGACUUGAAUUCGAAUUUUCUACAAAUGGAAUUGCCAUCUAACAUUGGCGAUACUCUUCCUAAUCUCUGGGCACUUAGCUUGAGCGACAACAUGUUCGAAGGUCAAUUUCCAGCCUCCCUAGGCAACGCUUCUUUCCUGUCUAUAAUAUAUUUAGCAUCAAACAAUUUUACCGGCCAACUUCCGAGUUCUUUAGGAAACCUUCUACACCUAACUGACCUGAAACUCGAUGAAAACAAUUUUGAAGCAAAGGACGAUCAAGGCUGGAAGUUUUUAGAUGCAUUGAGUAAUUGUGGUUCUCUGCAAGUGCUCUCUUUAAAUGACAAUCAGCUCUAUGGACCCAUACCUCAUUCAGUUGGAAAUUUAUCAGCAAGUAUUCAAAGACUUGAAUUCGGUAACAACUACUUGUCAGGGACGGUUCCAUAGGGCAUAGGGAACGUUCGUGGCUUAACUGUGUUGUUGCAUGAUCGUAAUAGCCUAACCGGUCUGUUACAAUGUGUAGCUCUUAUUUCAUCAUUUGGAAGCCAGUUUGGCCAUUCUAACAUGCAAAACAAUAUAUAGGCAUGUACUAGACUGGAAUAGGGCUUGUUUGACAUAGUUACCAAGCUGA